rnacentral:rRNA from 1 species
UGAAGCGGGAAAAGCUCAAGUUUGAAAUCUGAGACUUGUCUCAGAGUUGUAAGCUGAAGAAGUGUCGACCGACAUGGUCUGGGUCCAAUUUCUUUGGAACAAGAUGUCAUGGAGGGUGAGAACCCCGUCUGUGGCCCGGAUACCAUUGUCCUUGUGUCGUAUCUUCGAAGAGUCGGGUUGUUUGGGAAUGCAGCUCAAAAUGGGUGGUAAAUUUCAUCUAAGGCUAAAUAUUGGCGAGAGACCGAUAGCAAACAAGUAGAGUGAUCGAAAGAUGAAAAGUACUUUGAAAAGAGAGUGAAACAGUACGUGAAAUUGUUGAAAGGGAAGCGUUUGGCAUCAGCCCAUGGCGCCCGUCGAUCAUCCAGGCUUCUGUCUGGUGCACUUGUCGGGCGUCGGGCCAGCGUCGACUUUGCCCGCCGGAUAAAGGCCUUGGGAAUGUGUCUUCCUCUGGGAGAGUUACAGCCCUUGGUGUCAUGCGGUGUGGUGGGGUCGUGGUCCGCGGUUUAUCCUAGGACGCUGGCGUAAUGGUUCCAAGCGACCCGUCUUGAAACACGGACCAAGGAGUCU